rnacentral:tRNA from 1 species
CCGCCCGUAGCUCAGUUGGAUAGAGCAUCUGCCUUCUAAGCAGAGUGUCAGGGGUUCAAAUCCCUUCGGGCGGACCA